UACGUAGGGGGCAAGCGUUGUCCGGAUUUAUUGGGCGUAAAGCGCUCGCAGGUGGUUCAUUGCGUCGUGCGUGAAAGACCCCGGCUCAACUGGGGAGGGUCGUGCGAAACGGGUGAACUAGAGGCCAGUAGGGGGAUGCGGAAUUCCGGGUGUAGUGGUGGAAUGCGUAGAGAUCCGGAGGAACACCAGCGGCGAAGGCGGCAUCCUGGACUGGUCCUGACACUCAGGAGCGAAAGCGUGGGGGAGCGAUCCGG
rnacentral:rRNA from 1 species